UACUGGAGACAGGUGCUGCAUGGCUGUCGUCAGCUCGUGUCGUGAGAUGUUGGGUUAAGGUCCCGCAACGAGCGCAACCCUUGCCUUUAGUUGCCAGCAGUUCGGCUGGGCACUCUAAAGGGACUGCCGGUGUUAAACCGGAGGAAGGUGGGGGAUGACGUCAAGUCCUCAUGGCCUUUAUGACCAGGGCUACACACGUACUACAAUGGCCGAUACAAAGGGCAGCGACACUGCGAGGUGAAGCCAAUCCCGUAAAAUCGGUCUCAGUCCGGAUUGGAGUCUGCAACUCGACUCCAUGAAGUUGGAAUCGCUAGUAAUCGUGGAUCAGCAUGCCACGGUGAAUACGUUCCCGGGCCUU
rnacentral:rRNA from 1 species